rnacentral:rRNA from 1 species
ACGAACGCUGGCGGCGUGCUUAACACAUGCAAGUCGAACGAUGAAGCCAGCUUGCUGGUGGAUUAGUGGCGACCGGGUGAGUAACACGUGGGUGAUCUGCCCCAAACUUUGGGAUAAGCCUGGGAAACUGGGUCUAAUACCGAAUAUGACCGAUACUCGCAUGGGUGUUGGUGGAAAGCUCCGGCGGUUUGGGAUGGGCCCGCGGCCUAUCAGCUUGUUGGUGGGGUAAUGGCCUACCAAGGCGACGACGGGUAGCCGGCCUGAGAGGGCGACCGGCCACACUGGGACUGAGACACGGCCCAGACUCCUACGGGAGGCAGCAGUGGGGAAUAUUGCACAAUGGGCGCAAGCCUGAUGCAGCGACGCCGCGUGAGGGAUGACGGCCUUCGGGUUGUAAACCUCUUUCACCAGGGACGAAGCGAAAGUGACGGUACCUGGAGAAGAAGCACCGGCCAACUACGUG